rnacentral:rRNA from 1 species
UACGUAGGGGGCAAGCGUUGUCCGGAUUUAUUGGGCGUAAAGAGCGUGUAGGCGGCCUGGUAGGUCAGCUGUGAAAACUCGAGGCUCAACCUCGAGACGUCGGUUGAAACCACCUGGCUAGAGUCCGGAAGAGGAGAGUGGAAUUCCCGGUGUAGCGGUGAAAUGCGCAGAUAUCAGGAGGAACACCGGUGGCGAAGGCGGGUCUCUGGGCAGUAACUGACGCUGAGGAGCGAAAGCGUGGGGAGCGAACAGG